GUGGCUCCUGUUAGGAACACCUGGAGGGACAAAGUUUGCCUAAAAAAAUGUAGUUUUUUAGCUUUUUAGUUUUAAGCCUACUGUCACCAACCUGACACACCUGAGAAAGGUAAAAUCUACCCCUAAGCAACGGCCAGUCUCUUCUUCCUAAAAAACUAAAAAGUUUAUGGUACUUUUUUUUUUGGACAAUUCACAGAAUCCGUAGCUGCGAUAAUAGCCAUUUGGAGAAUCUGGAAGGAAGCAGCAGUUCCAAAAAAAGCAACCUUUAUAAUCUCUGGGAUGUGUCUCUGGAAAGGAUAAAAACAGGCUGUGUGUGGCUGGUAACUUGCAUCUCCCAGUCUCUUGGCAGCAGGAUAAUUUUGUCUGGUUUCUUCGCAAGAGGGGAGCGCAAAAAGGCUCCCCCAAGAAUGGAGAACAGCAGCCAGUCCCCAGUGGGUCGCACUCCGAGUAAUGCAAUUAUUCUUGCUUUUAUGGUCCCUUUGUUUUUCCUGCAACUUUCCAGGCCCUGAGCCCAACUUCCAAUCACUAGAUGUCAAAAUGCCAGUUCCCAAGACAAAGGAAUCUGUAAAUAGCUACAUUUUACAUAUGGGUUGUUGUGAAAUAAACUUUCAGAAGGCAGUUGUUUUCAUUCUUGGAAAAGAUGUUUGGACUUCAAGAUGUUGUGCAAUGGAUUCUUCAAGACUACGUGGCUCCAGUUGAGUAGAUUCACAUGUCAGGAGACAGAAUUUCUUGAUGUUACCACCUAUUCAAGAUGAGGAUGGACGGAUUUUUUUUUCUGUUGAAGGUAUUUUGAUAAAGACUUAUUGAAGGUGUUGUAGCAGCUGAGAGGCAGUCCAGAUCAGGGCUUCGGAUACCUUUUCCCUCUCCGAUCCCUUUCUGCCUGAAAAAAUUAUGUGAAUCUGGGUAUAUAGCCCUAAACACCCAGGCAAUAGGAGUAGAUGAACGAAGGAAGAACCUUGCGGAUUCACAACACUGAGGGACAAAAUUAAGAGUUAUGCGGGGAAUAAAAGUCUUCUGAAGGGUCCCAUGAACCAAGAGGUUUGGUCCAGACCAUAAUAAAAAAGGACAAAAGAAGAGCUGCAAGGCCAAGAACAAGCCACGAGAGUCAAGACAAAGCUCCACCCAGAGGAAAAAGGUUCUUACCAGGCAUCAAGGGAACCACUGACCACAGAGGGAAGCUGAGGAAGAAACACAACCUACAACCUAUCUACAGACCCACUAAGAAGAUCCAACAAAUGCUAUGCUCAGGAAAGGAGAAAAGGGAUCUUCUCACCUCUGCGGGAGUCUACCGUAUUCCAAGUCUACAUAGGAACCUCCAAAUGCAGCAGCAUUGACCAAACACGAAUCAAGGGAGAUGAAAGGCAUUGCAGACUCACUCAACCAGCCAUAGCAGAGCACUUGAGGAGCCAAUCUCGACACAGCAGAUUACUGGAGAACACAGAAAUGCUGGACCACUCUCACAACCACCAUGUCAGGCCACACACAGAAGCCACUGAAAUCCACAAGCAUGUGGACAACUUCAACAGAAAGGAGGAAACCAUCAAAAUGAACACAAUCUGGCUCCCGGUAUUAAAAAACUCUAAAAUCAGGAUAGUAAACAACUAACAACACUCUAAAAACAGGGGAAUUCCAUACAGGGAACAAUCGGGGUCAGCUAGCACCUGCUAACAAAGGAUUCCCUCAGAUGGGAAGCAGCCAGGCCUUGAAGCAGCCAGGCUAAUUAAUGUGAAUCAACAUGAUUAAUUGCAACGUUCACACUUGCCUCAAGCAGAGUAGAGUUUUCUCCCACCCUGGAUAUUAUUCCACAGAUAUAUAAACCUCCCUUGCCUAGUUUCCAACAGACCUCACAACCUCUGAGGAUGCCUGCCAUAGAUGUGGGCAAAACGUCAGAAUGCUUCUGGAACAUGGCCAGACAACCUGGAAAACUCACAGUAACCCAUUGACUCCGGCCAUGAAAGCCUUUGACAACAUAUUGGACAAUUUUUUUUCCAAAAUGCCAGGUUCUGCCCAUUGCGGUGCAUCUGUCUACUUUGUAGAUGGUUUGUCUGGUUAAACCUCACAAGCACUGAAUGUCCAAAUGCUAAGGAAAGGUUGCCCAAAGCUGUACAGUCCGGCUGCCGGGAUCUCACCUUCUCCUCGGUGGAAUAUAGCCAGGGUCCCAUCAGCCAGGGCCACCAGGACACGGCCUUUCACGUGCCUGAAAGCACAAGGGGAGGGCAUCAAUUUCGGAGGAAAAAGGAGAAAAUGCUCCUGUGUCGUGAUGGGGAAUUCAGAGCUGAAUUUGGCAGCCUGAGAUCCCAGUCCUUCUAUUACAAAGUAAACACAACAGCCAGAUUUCUAGCUACGAGGACCUUUUAAAAAAGCAGGUGGUGAUGGGAAAAGGACCUGACUGGAUUUCCUGGGGUUCAACAACCACGGGGUUUUUUCCCCUAUAAGCUUCAAGUCCCUUUUUACUGUGUAAUAAUUAAAUCUGUCCACUUACACCAGGCUCAGCACUGAGUCCUUCAGCUUGAUUGAGUGCAGGCAUUUCUUCCAGUUUGAGACGGCUGAGUGCACAUACAACCUACCACAAAGAAAGUUAGUUUAGUUUGGGCAUCAGGCCAAUCCCCAUUGCAAAUAGUGCUAUGAGAGAGAAAGAGAGAGAGAGAGCACUUCCAUAUCUUCUGGCACAACACUAAUUAGAACGCUAUAAUCAUCUGGAGAGGAUCUUCUCUCUCCCAUCAUCCUCUGGUGGGAACAUGGAAGAGCUCCCAGUCUCUGAAACGCCUUCCCGAGAGAGACCAGGAGGCCUUUUCCCUGCUUGACUUUUGAAUGCUGAUGAAAACAUUCCUCUGAAAUUCAGCUUGUAUUGUAAUCUGGAUUUAAACAUUGGUUUUAUAUACAGCCUCUUUCGACACAGUUUCCAAGGCUUCUCCCCACCACCCCCAAAGAGACUCAAAAGAUACACCCUGACUGGCCCUCUAACCCAGCCCCACGGAGCACUUUGCUAAUCUACUAUUACAACCUCACUGUUUUUAAAUUCUAUGUUUUUAAUAAGUGUGUUUUUAUUCUUUUUGGUUAAUGUGCAAAUAUUACAAUUGGUGCAUGUUAUUGUUUAUUGAUGUAUUGUAUAUUGUUAUUGUUUUGUAUUUGAUAUUUCUGUGAGCCGCCCCGAGUCUCCUCCAGGGGAGAUGGUGGCGGGAUACAAAUAAACUUAUUAUUAUUAUUAUUA